AACGAACGCUGGCGGCAUGCCUAACACAUGCAAGUCGAACGAGACCUUCGGGUCUAGUGGCGCACGCGUGCGUAACGUGUGGGAACCUGCCCUUAGGCUCGGAAUAACUCCCCGAAAGGGGUGCUAAUACCGGAUAAUGUCUUCGGACCAAAGAUUUAUCGCCGUUGGAUGGGCCCGCGUUGGAUUAGCCAGUGGGUAGGGUAAAAGCCUACCAAGGCGACGAUCCAUAGCUGGUCUGAGAGGAUGAUCAGCCACACUGAGACUGAGACACGGCCCAGACUCAUACGGGAGGCAGCAGUAGGGAAUAUUGGACAGUGGGCGAAAGCCUGGUCCAGCAAUGCCGCGUGAGUGAUGAAGGCCUUAGGGUUGUAGAGCUCUUUUACCAGGGAUGAUAAUGACAGUGCCGGAAGAAUAAGCUCCGGCUAACUCCGUG
rnacentral:rRNA from 1 species